rnacentral:lncRNA from 1 species
AGAGUUCUUCCACCUUCCUCAAAUUCAGCGACAGUUGUGUAAUAUUUCGUAAUUUUUUAUGUGCUUUCUGUUGCUAUAUGGUCUUGCUUGCAUGAGUGACUGUGGGUAAAUAUUGAAACUCAUUUCAUUAGUAUUGCAGUGUUUCUGCAUGUACGCUCAUAUGCUUUUCUCUCUUCUUUCAGAAAUAAACCCAAUGGGACAGGUACCUGCAAUUGUUGAUGGAAGAUUCAAACUAUUUGAAAGGUGUGCCCUUUUGAUUAUUAUUUGCUUGCUUAUCUUUUUCUCAACUUUGCUGAAAGAUCAGCCAUGAACGACCAUGACCACAUAGACAGACUGCAUUAAGCUUGACACUGGCUAAAAAAAUCUUUAUUUUCCCUUGUUUUCUGCUGGUACCGUGUUAGCUUUGUUUUUUCUUUACCACAUAUUAAUUAGAAGACGACAAGUUCUUAUUUUUACAUUAUAUAAGCUUGAAUAGAAACUGCAAGCGUAUCUGAUGCCUAAAAAGAAAUUUUGUAGACCUUCCAAUAGAGCUAUUUAACAACUAUGGCGAUAGUAACAGAAAGAGACUUGAAAGGAUGAAAUGUAACCUGAAAGGAUGAAAUGUAACCGAAGACUUAUUUUUAAAUAGGAGCACAUGAAAAACUACUUGAUUCAUGGUUUCUGUUGGGUUUGAACAUGCUGAAUCGUAUCACAUUCCUAUUCCACUGUCUAUUUCAACCCUUUUAUUUUUGGUUCCUGGCAGUGUUGCUGUCAUAGUAAUAGUGUAAAUAUCUCUUGCUUUGUGUAUCAGUGUAAAUAUCUCCCGCUAACAAAUCCUGACUGCAACACACAUUUAGGCCAAAGAUCUUAAACUGCUUCAGGUUUUAGCCCAUUUCCCGUGUGCAAAUGGUGUUGUUGAUCUUGUACUAAAAUUGUUAUUCUUUUCAGGCUUUUUUUCUUCACAAAUUCUGGACAGUAGGUAUUGUUCAUUUUUUAUUACUAUAAUAUAUUAGAACCGAGACUGUGGGCCUUUUGGUCCUAGCUUAGAUGUUAGAAUGCCUCCAGAGAUGAAAAUCUGAUACGCUUUAGAUGAUAUAGGUCUUAUAGUUCAUAUAGUUCUCAUGGUUUGCUAUAUACGCGGGCCGAUGAUGGCGGGGCGGCGAUGGAUAGUUCAUGGGAUCCCACGACAGAGAGCAUGGGCAUGAGCUCGGGAGCGGGCGAUGGAUGGUUCCUGGGAUUGCACGGCCAAGAGCGGGGCAAGGGGGAGGGACAUCAUCAUGCCCAACUUGAAGUCGUCCGUGACCACAACAGCGAGCGCGGUGGAGUAUACGGAUGAAGUAUUGAAGGCGCUGCCGCCAGGUAGUACCUUCUUUCCACUCAUGACACUACCUCAUAGACAACACAAGUCUAGAUGAGAUCAGGCUCGCAAGUAUGACCUAUCUGUUGCCAUUUUUUUUGUUAAUCUUUUAAACUGAAGCAUCGUGUUUACCUAGCCGUAAGCCGACAUGUAGUCUGUAGAUCAGUUUCGAGUGUCGUCGUGGUGGUGUUUUUUGUACAUCCAUCUGUUCUGAAGUAUAAAGUAUAAUCCAAUAUGAUGGACGUUGCCGCGUGGGUUGGCCAUGGGAUAUAUUCCCCAUUCCUCUCCUAUCCACGCAGGUUGGUCAUGGGGAUGUUUCCCCCUCCCUCCCCUGUGCAAUAUCUUUCAUUUUACCUAAACUUCUGAUGUUUAUCUAAACUUCUGAUGCCCAUCGGUUGAUACCUGAAUAGGUCGGCAGCCUUGAGGAGGCAGCUAAAGCUAAAGAAGCCGAUGUAGAUGGGAUCAUUGAUCAGGGACGUGAGGCAGGGGGUCAUGUAAUU